rnacentral:sRNA from 1 species
CUUUUCUAAAUUAGGAUGAUUUGAUAUGUUUAAUAUUAGUGGUCUUAAAAAAA